GUGCGAUUGUGUAAAGUUGUUCAUGGAUGGACAAUGAAUACAAUUGAUCAUCGAUCGUAUAUCUAAAUUCGAAUUGUGUAAUUUUGUCCAUUCCAUGAAGACCGAAAAGUGACCGGUCGUAUAUAAUCGUUUCAUGGAUUUGCGUUUUAUUAAUGAAAAACAUUCGCUAAAACUCAUUAUUUUUUAACAAAUAACAAAUGAAAUCCAUGUUCAAAUGCAGUUUUUUUUAAUAAAAUUUUAUGAUUGCACCUUAAUAACAUACUUUUAUUCAUAAAAACAUUGAAUUCGAAUUAAAAAUUUACCUCUGCAAAUCAUGUAACCAAACGCAUAGAACGAAUGAAAUACGAGUUCCACUACCCGCCCCCAGGUGGCAUACAUACUUUAAGGCUAGGCAGGCUAAGUUGAAUACUACUCUACAAUAGGUGGCGUUAAUGGACUACGAAAAACGACGUGAAAUGCUUACUUCUUUUUAUUUAUUUAUACUUUAAUGCCAAAAUUUUAACCUAAGGCGAACUUAAUCUCACAUUUAAUAAAUUAUACAUAAAUAAUUGUUUUGAGAAGUAGUAUUUUAAUCUAUGUUCUGUGAAUGACAAGUGUUAUCUGUCAAGUGUCAAAAAACUUGAAAAACUUUUACGAAGUUUUUGAAUUAUGUUAAAUUUGUUUAUAAACACAAUGCCAAAGGCAAGAAUAAUUGCCCACGCCAGAUGGAGACCCAGCUAAAUAAUGUAGUAACAGCGCGUGGUCGUGUGAUGAGGGUUCCUCGACUUGAGUUCUGGCGCAACACGUCCUGGGCACUAAACAAAAUUGGGGAUGGGACGUCUAAAGAGGUGCAAGCCUGGAAAACGCUCUCGUCUUGCUCUACAGCACUUGCACUUGUCCCACCAUCUACCAGUGUUGGAACUCUUCCAAUAAUUUCCCACACCCAGGUGGAGAAUACUCCAGUUACUGCUACUGCUACUCUAAAAUAUCUCUCAUCUUGUUCUACAGCGCCUGCACCUGUCCUACCAUCUACCAGUGUUGGAACUCUUCGAAGUGUAUUAAUGAUUAUUAUUUUAGUAACCAUAAAAGUUUAAAACAAUACAUUUUAUUGCAUAAUUAUUUGUUAGAAAAAAAUGAUGUAAAAUGAGUAGGGAGGCUGUUGAUUUUUCAUGGUUAUUUUAUAUCUUGUUGAUUGUUCCAAAAAAAAACUAAGUUUUCAAGAAUGCUGUGAUUAAAGUACCUAUAGUAUUAUAUUUAAAAUGAAAACUUAGUUUGUAAAGAGACGAAGGCUGACCAAAAAAGAAGUACUUAUAGCUGUCUGUGUCUGUGUAAAGAAUUUAAAUAAAAAGAUGUGUAUAUUUAAACAGUUUUCUUUAUUUUAUUAGUCAUUUAUUCCUGUAAAUAAGCCCACACAGGGCACUUUUACAUGUCCCAACAUAACUUUACCCUACCACUUUGGCAGUAUUGUGGGUUAAGGCUGAUUAAAACGUGUUAAGUAGAUAAGUAGGUACCUACCUAACUACUUUAUUGACUUAAUUUUAAGUAAUUAAUUGCGUAGUAGUAUAGUACAAAACGUAGUAGUAUAGUACAAAACUUAGUAGUAAGUUUCAAGUCAAAAUUUAGAUUGUGCUUGUGUUUUAAGUACGUGCAAUUUAAUCACGUAAAAUUAAGUGAAAAACACUUAUCUACUUAACACGUGUAACUCAGCUUUUAGUGCUAUAGUUGUUGAUGAAAAAGAACUCUUGUGUCUCACUAAAACUUAUUUCCAUUAACACCAAGCACUCACCGCUUACCACACUUUAUCUUUCAAAGAAAUAAAUUAACAAUUUGCAUACGAGGACGAGGAUAGAAUUACACCUCUAUGAGAAUUUAUACGAUUAUCAUGAGUUACGAGUCACCGCAAUCAUUUGACAUUAGCAAUGGGCUCAUGAAACUUAGACAAUUCGAAUUUUCUGUCAAAAUCAUAUUCAUCAUUCACUCAUCGUAUAAAAUUACGAUCAAAUCGUUAUCAUAUCGUUAUCGUUUUAUGAACUCCUUACACAAUUAGAAUUAGCCGUUUGACACAUCAUAACGUACGUUAUGAACUGUCAAAUGAAUACGAUUGCCUUAGACAAUCGCACCAC